CCUACGGGAGGCAGCAGUAGGGAAUAUUGGUCAUGGACGGAAGUCUGAACCAGCCAUUCCGCGCUGCAGGAAGAAGGUCCUAUGGACUGUAAACUGCUUUUAGCAGAGAAGAAACGCCUUCAUUUAUGAGGGUCUGACGGUAUCUGCGGAAUAAGCACCGGCUAACUCCGUGCCAGCAGCCGCGGUAAUACGGGGGGUGCAAGCGUUAUCCGGAAUCACUGGGUUUAAAGGGUGCGUAGGCGGGACAUUAAGUCAGUGGUGAAAGUCUGUUGCUUAACGAUAGAAUUGCCGUUGAUACUGAUGUUCUUGAAUUGGGUUGAGGUUAGCGGAAUGUGACAUGUAGCGGUGAAAUGCAUAGAUAUGUCAUGGAACACCAAUUGCGAAGGCAGCUAGCUGGGCCUUGAUUGACGCUGAGGCACGAAAGCGUGGGGAGCAAACAGGAUUAGAUACCCUGGUAGUCCACGCCCUAAACGAUGCUAACUCGAUGUUUGGUUUUAGGAUUGAGCAUCUAAGGGAAACCGAUAAGUUAGCCACCUGGGGAGUACGACCGCAAGGUUGAAACUCAAAGGAAUUGACGG
rnacentral:rRNA from 1 species